rnacentral:ribozyme from 1 species
AAAGAAAAAGAAAAAGAAAAAGAAGAAAAAGAAGAAGAGUUGGCAACAACUUCCAACAUUUGUCUUCUCAU